AGCGAACGCUGGCGGCGUGCUUAACACAUGCAAGUCGAGUGCGCGUCUGUAGCAAUACAGAUGGCGCACGGCGCACGGGUGCGUAACACGUGGGUAAUCUGCCCUUCGAAGGGGAAUAACUCGCCGAAAGGCGAGCUAAUUCCGCAUAACAUUCCGAGAACCUUGGUUUUUGGAUUCAAAGGCGUAAGUCGUCGGAGGAGGAGCCCGCGCACGAUUAGCUAGUUGGUAGGGUAACGGCCUACCAAGGCUAUGAUCGUUAGCUGGUCUGAGAGGAUGG
rnacentral:rRNA from 1 species